AUUGAACGCUGGCGGCAGGCCUAACACAUGCAAGUCGAACGAGUGGCGGACGGGUGAGUAAUGUCGGGGAAACUGCCUGAUGGAGGGGGAUAACUACUGGAAACGGUAGCUAAUACCGCAUACCAUCAGAUGUGCUCAGAUGGGAUUCGCUAGUUGGUGGGGUAACGGCUCACCCAGGCGACGAUCCCUCGCUGGUCUGAGAGGAUGACCGGCCACACGGGAACUGAGACACGGGCCAGACUCCUACGGGAGGCAGCAGGGGGGAAGAUUGCACAAGGGGCGCAAGCCUGAUGCAGCCAUGCCGCGGGUAUGAAGAAGGCCUUCGGGUUGUAAAGUACUGUCAGCGGGGAGGCGUUACCCGCAGAAGAAGCAGCGGCUAACGCCGUGCCAGCCGCCGCGGUAAUUC
rnacentral:rRNA from 1 species